ACCAGAGUACUAUGAAUGAUAUAGAAUUUAAAACUCAAAGAACUUGGCGGUGUUUUAGACCAUUUAGGGGAACCUGUCUCGUAAUCGACAGUCCACGUUACACCUGACCUUUUUUUGUUUCCAGUUUGUAUACCGUUGUCGUCAGGUAACUUUUUAGAAAGUAGAAGUUGGCUAUAUAAAUAUAAUGGUUUAGUACGUCAAAUCAAGGUGCAGCUAAUAAAAGGGGGAGGAUGGGUUACAAUUAUAGAAUCAUAAUGACGGAUAUUUAUAUGAAAGUGUAAAUUAUGAAGGCGGACUUAAAAGUAAAUUGGAUUAUGCAAACAAGUUUGAAUGCGGCUCUGAAACGUGU
rnacentral:rRNA from 1 species